AUUAGAGACAAGAUAUUAUUCUUGAAUGAGUAGACAGAAAGAACAAUAUAACAGAUCCAUUCACUAAGGCCAUACCAAAGCAGCUAUAUAAUUGCCAUCUUGAUUGUAUGAGAUAUAAAGGCGAUUUGCUUUAGUGCAAGUGGGAGAUUGAAAGAAGAGUGCCCUAUAAGCUAAUCGUAAGUGUGUUGCGAUGGAACUUUUCUUUAUAAUUUUUCAACUCAUGAAAUAAUAUUUAUUAUUUGAGGUAUUGAUUAAUCAUAUUAGCUGCAUCUUAUUAUGUCUAAUAUUAUGAUGAAC
rnacentral:lncRNA from 1 species